rnacentral:rRNA from 1 species
AAUGCCAGAUAAUUGAUGUAUGGGAGUCAGACAGUGUGAGAUAAGUUUCAUUGUCAAAAGGGAAACAGCCCAGACCCACAGCUAAGGUCCCAAAGUAUGGUUAAGUGGAAAAGGAUGUGGGGUUGCUUAGACAACCAGGAUGUUGGCUUAGAAGCAGCCACUCAUUAAAAGAGUGCGUAAUAGCUCACUGGUCGAGUGACCCUGCGCCGAAAAUUUAACGGGGCUAAAUCAUACACCGAAGCUUGGGAUUGACAGAUAUUCUUCAUGUUUUCAGGCAGGAUAGGAAAGAGAGAAAAUCUGAUGACGCCGAAGAAUGAGGCGGCAUUAAAUUUCUGUUCAAGUAAAAGCAUGAAGAUGUGAAGAAUAUCUGUCGAUGGUAGGAGAGCGUUCUAUGUGGGGAGAAGUCUGAGCGGAAGCGCAGGUGGACUGCAUAGAAGUGAGAAUGCCGGAAUGAGUAGCGCGAAAUAUGUGAGAAUCAUAUUGGCCGAAAGUCUAAGGUUUUUGGAGGAAGGUUCGUCCGCUCCAAGUAAGUCGGGAGCUAAGGCGAGGCCGAAAGGCGUAGUCGAUGCACAUACGGUAGAUAUUCCGUAACCGCCGAAGGAUUAAAGCAAAGGGACACCUGCGAAGCGUGUAACCCGGGCGAUGGUUGCCCCGGGCGUAAGGGACCGAAAUUUAGUAGGGAAGUACAUGUAGAGCAGGGCGAGAAAAGCUUUGUGUAUAUCCAAGGCGCCCGUACCGCAAACCGACACAGGUAGAUAGGAAGAGAAUUCUAAGGCCAACGGGAGAAGGGUAGUUAAGGAACUCGGCAAAUUGGUCCCGUAACUUAGGGAAAAGGGACGCUCCAGAGAUGGAGCCGCAGUGAAUAGGCCCAGGCGACUGUUUAGCAAAAACACAGGUCUCUGCCAAAUCGAAAGAUGAAGUAUAGGGGCUGACACCUGCCCGGUGCUGGAAGGUUAAGAGGAGAUGUGCAAGCAUUGAAUUGAAGCCCCAGUAAACGGCGGCCGUAACUAUAACGGUCCUAAGGUAGCGAAAUUCCUUGUCGGGUAAGUUCCGACCCGCACGAAUGGUGUAACGAUCUGGGCACUGUCUCAACUACCCGCCCGGCGAAAUUGUAGUACCGGUGAAGAUGCCGGUUACCCGCGACAAGACGGAAAGACCCCAUGGAGCUUUACUGUAGCUUGAUAUUGGGUUUCGGUAAUUUAUGUACAGGAUAGGCGGGAGACUAGGAAGCCAGUACGCCAGUAUUGGUGGAGUCGUCCUUGGGAUACCGCUCUUAAGUUGCUGGAAUUCUAACCUGCGGCCGUGAAUCCGGCCGGGGGACAUUGUCAGGUGGGCAGUUUGACUGGGGCGGUCGCCUCCAAAAGAGUAACGGAGGCGCUCAAAGGUUCGCUCAGCACGGACGGAAACCGUGCCUUUGAGUGCAAACGCAAAAGCGAGCCUAACUGCGAGACUGACGGGUCGAGCAGUAACGAAAGUUGGAGUUAGUGAUCCGGCGGUAUGUGAGUGGAAAUGCCGUCGCUCAACGGAUAAAAGCUACCCUGGGGAUAACAGGCUGAUCUCCCCCAAGAGUCCACAUCGACGGGGAGGUUUGGCACCUCGAUGUCGGCUCAUCACAUCCUGGGGCUGUAUUCGGUCCCAAGGGUUCGGCUGUUCGCCGAUUAAAGUGGUACGCGAGCUGGGUUCAGAACGUCGUGAGACAGUUCGGUCCCUAUCUGUCGUGGGCGCAGGAUAUUUGAGGAGCUCUGUCCUUAGUACGAGAGGACCGGGAUGGACGCACCGCUGGUGCACCAGUUGUCACGCCAGUGGCACAGCUGGGCAGCUAAGUGCGGAUCGGAUAAACGCUGAAAGCAUCUAAGCGUGAAGCCGGCUCCAAGAUAAGAUAUCCCAUUCCGUAAGGAAGUAAGACCCCUUGAAGACUACAAGGUUGAUAGGCUGCGUGUGUAAGCGCCGCGAGGCGUUCAGCUUGGCAGUACUAAUAGGUCGAGGGCUUGACCUU